rnacentral:rRNA from 1 species
AUGAGCAAGAUACUCAUCGCCAUGUCCUUUGUGCUGAUGUUCUUGGCAGCUGCGCCGCAAGCAUCAUCCGCGGUCCCUGGAGCCGCCGGAGGGAUCUUGCAGAUCCCUUCUAAUGACUCCUUGGCUCACUGUAUCCCAAGGUGUGGGGAUGUCGACAUCCCCUAUCCCUUCGGUAUAGGGCCCGGCUGCUUCCGUCAAGGCUUCGAUCUCACCUGCAACCACUCCAGCGAGCAUCCCAGGCUUUUUUUAGGCAGCAGCACUAUCCAGGUCACUGAUAUUGACAUAUACUACGGCAGUGUUUGGGCCCGUAUAAUCUUCAACCUUACAACGAGGCUAGAUACAGAUACCUACAACCUAUCAUGGGAGGCCCCUUCUAAAGGAGAAGGACCACGCCGAGGAGAUGGCAGCGGAUCAAACUAUUGCACCUGA